AUUGAACGCUGGCGGCAGACCUAACACAUGCAAGUCGAACGAGUGGCGGACGGGUGAGUAAUGUCUGGGAAACUGCCUGAUGGAGGGGGAUAACUACUGGAAACGGUAGCUAAUACCGCAUACCAUCAGAUGCGCCCAGAUGGGAUUAGCUAGUUGGUGGGGUAACGGCUCACCAAGGCGACGAUCCCUAGCUGGGCUGAGAGGAUGACCAGCAACACUGGAAAUUAGCAACGGCCCAGACUCCUACGGGAGGCAGCAGUGGGGAAUAUUGCACAAGGGGCGCAAGCCUGAUGCAGCCAUGCCGCGUGUAUGAAGAAGGCCUUCGGGUUGUAAAGUACUUUCAGCGGGGAGGCGUUACCCGCAGAAGAAGCACCGGCUAACUCCGUGCCAGCAGCCGCGGUAAUAC
rnacentral:rRNA from 1 species